GGAUUGGUCACUCCCCGAAGUGGAGGGGGGGCAUGGCCCCUCCCUAGGACAGGAUUGGUCUAAUUCAAGACCAAUUCCAUGUCAGGAAGUAGGGCAUGGUCCCUCCCCAGCACAGGAUUGGUCCACUCAAGACCAAUCCCACACCAGGAAAUAGGAAGGCGGGACCCCCUAGGUUACCCUGCUGGAUGCAGUUCCCCCAACUCCAAUAUUUUAAAACCCACAAAAAGGAGGCGGAGAUGUUUAUAAAUGACUUUCCCAGGGCCACAAAGCUAAUCAGUUUGUGGGGCAAGAUAUGAACCCAGGUCUUCCUUAUUCCAAGCCCAUUGAUCUUGUCCCCUGAGUCUGAAGCACCAGAUUUCUUCAUGGAAAAGAGGACUAAGGGAAAAAAAAAUUCUGGCUAUCUGUUAUGGCCCUGGAGACCACCAUCCAUAAUCUGGCCCCAUUCCACUCCUCUGACUUAUCAUUUCUGUAGUUCAUUUCUUAGAGAAAAAAUGACUAUUGAUCCAGUUGACCUGUUGCUAUUCCUCUGUACAAGCCGAAUGUCUCAUUCCAAGGAGAGACAACACAUUGUGACUAUAAACAAUUUGAUGGCAAAGCCCAAUGGGUCACAGAAUUCAAACAUGGCAAGUAAAAAUUGGAUCAGAGAAAAUGUUUGCUGUUGUAUUUUAGAGAUAGAUGGGACCUUCAGCAUUAUACAGUGUGUGUAGAGAAAGUAAGUAAUGUGUCAGUAGGAAUGUAGGUCUUUGUGUUGCUUAUAUAUGCUCUGAGGCAGCUAUCCUACUGACAGGGAUGAGUUGAAAGAAAAUUGAGGGAAUUGAGAGGAUUAAGUUAGCAAGUAGUUAAUUGUAGGAAUUGGGUGAACCAUAACUACUUCCAUCUUGUAACUCAGUUCUGGAGUUAAGUUCCUUUUCUAUUCAAUUAUGGUCCAAAUUCUAUCCUGUGAGAAAAGUUUAUACAAUUGC
rnacentral:lncRNA from 1 species